UACAGAAGAAAACAAAUGAAGGGACCAUCAAAAUAAUGAGGAAGCUAAGGCUACAGGCAAGGUGGAAAAAAAGUGGCAUAUGCCUAGACUGUCCCCAGCCUCCUAAAAUGGUGCAAUGCUGCAAAAACAACCAUAAUCCCUCGUUGCUGGGCAAUGGACAGCGUCACAAAUCAAACUCUCUUCGUUUUUGCAUCUACUUAUCUAGCUUAAUGCUGAGACGGUCACAAACAAAGAAGAUAUUCGUUAUAUAAAUGGGGUGGCUAAUGUACUUCAGGAAAUUUUUAGAUCUUACUUGGUGUUUAUGUGUACUUUUUGUGUUUUUAAUGUUGAAAAAGAUACAAAUUAUUUAGAGCUGAAAUUAAAAUUACAUUAAAAAAUUCAAUCUAACCUUAUUACCUUGUGAUAAACAUGAGUCUUAGAAAAACCUCUCUGUUGAUGUUUUCCACAUGAAUGAUUUCUAGCAGAUGACCUCAAGUUAUAAGGUGACAGAUUUAUAAAAUCACAGAAUGGUCUUCUCAUUUUAAGAGAAAAUUUAGAUUGUUGUUUGCUUUUAUUACUCUCCCUAAACUCUGAGGGAACACAAAUUUAAAGAAAACUUUCUCAAUCCAGAUACAUAAUUAGUAUAUUUCCAGUUCUCCUCAAUGUAUGCCUAGUCCUUUAUAGCUGCUAAGAAUACUAUUCAUAGCAUCUUUCAAAAGUAUCAUAAGGCUGUUAUGUCCAUUAUCAAUUAUAAUGGCUAUAUUAUAUAUGACGUAUCAACAUUCAGUCCAAAAGCACUAUUACCUCUGAACAGAUUGUUUUUCUGCAAUUAGGUGCUGUACACUAAGCUAGCUAAGAAAAUAAGCAUUGGCCCCAUGUACCCAGGCUCUACAUAAUAGCAUUGUUGUGAAGGAAAAUGAGCAAAAUGGAUCUAUGAGCACUUUGGGGGAAAAGAAACAAUGGUGCUAUACAUAGACAAAGAAUUAUAAUAAAAAUAAUAACAGCCAUCAGAUCUGACCUAAUGAAAAUUGGACAGCAGAACUAAAAGCAAUUUCAAAAACGCUAAUAACUAUCUUCUUCCUCUUCUUUUUCCUUGGUUCCCAUGGCAAUCCAUAUUUUCAUAUGAGGCCCACAAUUUGGGCCUUUUUUGGGCAAUUAGCCUCCCAUUUGUCCAAUUCUCUUUACCUGACUCUUCAAAAGUCCCCUACCGACUUUCCAUUUAACCAAAUAUCCAAGUCAAUUCAACUAAACAGCUAGUUAGCUCAGUAAAAAUAGUGUAAUUACAUUAAGAUGUGAUCAUUUCAAGAUGAUAUUUAAGAAGUUGGGCAGAAGUGAACUCUUCAAAUGAUAUUAUCAGUAAUAUGAUCAGUUAUGUAAACUAGGAAUGGGUUUCUUUGGGUGCAAAUGGCAACUUUAGGAAAGACAGUUAGGCAGCAUUGGUGCUAAAAGAAGGAAAAUCAACAGAAAUAAGUGCUACAGGAAGAGUAAAGACUUUAUUAUUCUGGUGAUUUUAAAAAAUUAUUUCUAAAAUUAUGAUAUGUAUAUAUGAAAUGUAACUCAUCAUAUGAACUAUAAACUAUUCACUUACACACACUGUAUAGAUAUACAUUUUCUUUCUGCUGCUUUGCUUUACCUAUUCAAACCAG
rnacentral:lncRNA from 10 species